AGCGAACGCUGGCGGCAGGCUUAACACAUGCAAGUCGAACGGUCCUUCGGGAUAGUGGCGGACGGGUGAGUAACACGUGGGAACGUACCCUUAGGUUCGGAACAACACAGGGAAACUUGUGCUAAUACCGGAUAAGCCCUUCGGGGGAAAGAUUUAUCGCCUUUGGAGCGGCCCGCGUCUGAUUAGCUUGUUGGUGAGGUAAUGGCUCACCAAGGCUACGAUCAGUAGCUGGUCUGAGAGGAUGGCCAGCCACACUGGGACUGAGACACGGCCCAGACUCCUACGGGAGGCAGCAGUGGGGAAUCUUGCGCAAUGGGCGAAAGCCUGACGCAGCCAUGCCGCGUGGAUGAUGAAGGUCUUAGGAUUGUAAAAUCCUUUCACCGGGGACGAUAAUGACGGUACCCGGAGAAGAAGCCCCGGCUAACUUCGUGCCAGCCGCCGCGGUAA
rnacentral:rRNA from 1 species